rnacentral:misc_RNA from 1 species
GAAAUGCGAUAAGUAAUGUGAAUUGCAGAAUUCAGUGAAUCAUCGAAUCUUUGAACGCACCUUGCGCUCCCUGGUAUUCCGGGGAGCAUGCCUGUUUGAGUGUCAUGGUAUCCCCAACCUUCAUAACUUUUUGUUAUCGAAGGCUUGGACUUGGAGGUUGUGCUGGCUUCUAGUCGAGUCGGCUCCUCUUAAAUGUAUUAGCGUGAGUGUAACGGAUCGCUUCGGUGUGAUAAUUAUCUGCGCCGUGGUCGUGAAGUAACAUAAGCUUGCGCCUCUAACCGUCCUUCAGUUGGACAACUUACUUUGACAUCUGACCUCAAAUCAGGUAGGACUACCCGCUGAACUUAAGC